GACGAACGCUGGCGGCGUGCCUAAUACAUGCAAGUCGAACGCAGUGGGGACGGGUGAGUAACACGUGGGUAACCUCCCAUCAGAGGGGAUAACACUUGGAAACAGGUGCUAAACCGAUACUGAUGGAUGGACCCGCGGUGCAUUACCUGGGUGGUGGGGGAACGGCUCACCAAGGCCACGAUGCAUAGCCGACCUGAGAGGGGUAUCUGCAACACUGGGACGGAGACACGGCCCAGACUCCUGCGGGAGGCAGCAGUAGGUAAUCUUUGGCAAUGGGCGAAAGUCUGACCGAGCAACGCGGCGUGAGUGAAGAAGGUUUUCGGAUCGUAAAACUCUGUUGUUAGAGAAGCGGUAUCUAACCAGAAAGCCACGGCUAACUACGUGCCAGCAGCCGCGGUAAUAC
rnacentral:rRNA from 1 species